AACGUAGGUACCGAGCGUUAUCCGGAUUCACUGGGCGUAAAGCGCGUGCAGGUGGUUUGGUAAGUCGGGCAUGAAAACUCUUGGCUCAACUGAGAGAAGCUGUUCGAUACUGCCGGACUGGAGGGUGUGAGAGGGAGGUGGAAUUCCGCGUGUAGUGGUGAAAUGCGUAGAUAUGCGGAGGAACACCAGUGGCGAAGGCGGCCUCCUGGCACACUCCUGACACUCAGACGCGAAAGCUAGGGGAGCGAACGGG
rnacentral:rRNA from 1 species